rnacentral:rRNA from 1 species
AUUGAACGCUGGCGGCAGGCCUAACACAUGCAAGUCGAGCGGAUGAGGGAAGCUUGCUUCCCGAUUUAGCGGCGGACGGGUGAGUAAUGCCUAGGAAUCUGCCUAUUAGUGGGGGAUAACGUUCCGAAAGGAACGCUAAUACCGCAUACGUCCUACGGGAGAAAGUGGGGGAUCUUCGGACCUCACGCUAAUAGAUGAGCCUAGGUCGGAUUAGCUAGUUGGUGAGGUAACGGCCCACCAAGGCGACGAUCCGUAGCUGGUCUGAGAGGAUGAUCAGCCACACUGGAACUGAGACACGGUCCAGACUCCUACGGGAGGCAGCAGUGGGGAAUAUUGGACAAUGGGCGAAAGCCUGAUCCAGCCAUGCCGCGUGUGUGAAGAAGGCCUUUUGGUUGUAAAGCACUUUAAGCGAGGAGGAGGCUACUAGUACUAAUACUACUGGAUAGUGGACGUUACUCGCAGAAUAAGCACCGGCUAACUCUGUGCCAGCCGCCGCCGUAAAAC